rnacentral:rRNA from 1 species
UACAGAGGAGCCAAGCGUUGUCCGGAUUGACUGGGCGUAAAGCGCACGCAGGCGGUUGCGCGCGUGGGGGGUGAAAUCUGGCCGCUUAACGGCCAGGCGCCAUCCCAUACGGCGCGACUGGAGUGAUGCAGAGGUCGAUGGAAUUGCCGGUGUAGUGGUGAAAUGCGUAGAGAUCGGCAGGAACACCCAGGGGGAAACCAGUCGACUGGGCAUCUACUGACGCUGAGGUGCGAGAGCGUGGGGAGCGAGCCGG